GCCGAGUCUCCGCAGUGAGCACCGCGACGCCUUCGAAGACGAAUCGUGCGGAGAAUUAAGCCGGUGUGAACAAAAAGGAAUCUUCGAAUCUGGAACUAAUAAGCCGAUGUGCAGUGUUGGUGAAUUUCAGUUUCCACACCUAUUUUUCCCGAGCCUCUACGAUAAAUUUCAUCGAGAGGAACAGGCAGAUAAAAUGAGAGAAAGAUAGAUAAAGGAGAAAGAGAAAAGGUUUUAUCUGGAAGAAAGUAAUGGCAGCACCAAAGAAGAACACACGUUUCGCGUGUUUACAAAAAAUACAUUUACUUAACUGCAUCAAGUAAUAUUUCAAAGAUAUUCUUGAAAUCCUGAACAGUGGAUCUUCGAUAAAAGGAUAUUUUCAGUUUUAAAAAAUACAAAAAGAAAUAUAAAAAUAAAAUAGUGACAAAAAAAGAAGAAGAAAAAGAAGA